rnacentral:tRNA from 5 species
GGGCAGUUAGCUCAGGGGGAGAGCGCUACCUUGACACGGUAGAGGUCACUGGUUCGAUCCCAGUACUGCCCA